CAAAUAUCGCAGCUAACAUUAAGCCGGAUUGCGUCUAUUCGGAUUUGGAAAAUGGUCACAUUUCGGUUCGGUUCGUCGCACAGAAUGUCAAACUUUCAGGAUUGUACCGUGCGAACGGAUCCCUCAUGAAUGCCACGACUACGUUUCACUCGGACGGAAAUUGGACAAUAGAUUUUGACAUGAUAUGUACAUUCCGAGCAAAUUUAACUUACAUGAAUGCAUCGCAUGUCAGAUUGGCUGAUAACAAUGACUUUUCCUGUGAUGAAACUUUUUCUGACGGAAUAAUUACUCCAUGCGACAUACCUGGAAAAUUUCGUACCCACAUUGUUGAGUCAGGGUUACUAAUUUAUGCUAAUUAUCUAUCUACAUACAUAUGUGUCAUCUUGAUAUUUUUGUUGCCAAGAUUUGUCGGCCUUUUAGCCAAAGUGGACACAUCGGAGGGAAAUGGCACGGAGAACUGGGUUGGGAGAGGGAUAGAACAAUACCUGGAGAACAAAUUAGGCAGCUAUGUUCACAAGCGUGGCACAUUCGGAGAUAUUGUUCCACCCAAGUUUGGACAAUUAGUGCAUACGUAUUUGUCACAGAUCUUUCAGGUAUUUUACUUGGUGCAUAAAUCUUGAUCUUAUUAAGUGUCUGGCUUGAUGGUGUAGUAAUUUUAUUCUAGAAGGAAUCACUGUUCGACAUGAUGGAUUUUUAAAUUAUGCUAAUACUUGACUGCUGGUACGAAGAUAACAAUUGUGAUUUUUGGAACUAGUAGUAUUUGCAUAUACAUAUUGGCGUAUGUACAUGGAUCCUGAAAAUCCUAAUUCCUUGAUUAUGAUUUAAAUAUUCAUGUUAUGCAAAAGUUUAUUGAAUGUGACGAGUACGACGUCAAUAUGAGUAUUUUGCAGAAAUAAAUAUUUAUGAUUAUUAAUUUACUCCGAUUAAUUCUAAUUAUCUAUGUAGCCUCCGACGUACAGUUGCCUAUGAAUUUUUACAAUCCAGUAUCAUUUAGACUUUUUUCGUAAAUCUCAUUAUGCCCAUUUUCGACGAUAAGAGCUUUCCAUGCACACGCACAAAUAAUUCCAAAGUCUCUGCUUUUAGGUGCAACCUAAUUUUAGCAUAGCAUAAAAAAUUCCUACUAAUUAGACACGAUUAAAAUAUGUAAAUGCAAUCAAAUUUACUGCACUAUUUAUCAAAAUUUGCUGGAAUCUCCAAAUAUUAUGAUGCUCAAAGCUCUAAUUUAAUAAUCCGCUUUUGACUUUAAAGAUAAAUAUUUCCAAUCAUAAAUAAUUUCUUCAUACAGAUUUAUGCACUAAUUACUCCAGAGUGAGGCGUAUGUCAAAAUUGCAUCGGAAAACUAGUUGAA